rnacentral:lncRNA from 1 species
UUUUGUGUAGAGGCGCUUGCAGAAGUUGCACACAUGGGAAAACAUUGUUGUAGCCUGCGUGUUGGGGAAAAUGUGGCCUUUAUAAAAGCAUUUCAUGCAAUUCAUUUGAGAUGACUGGAGACUUUAGCAGAUCAUUUUUUAAUAGCUCACAAAUGAUGGAAAUGACAGGCUGCUAUGACACUGACAAACUGACAAUCUGAGACCAAUAACAAUGACCUUCAGUCCACCAAUAGCCUGUUACCUAGGCGUGUGGAGACACAUAUUGUACAUUAUUAGGAGGAAAUGAUCGUCCUAAAAAAGCUUUCCAGUUUCACUGAUUCACCCAAUGAUGCUCAGCUCACUCACCGGCGAUGGCCGAUGCGCUCGUGCCAAAAGCUUAGCUCUCUCUUGUUUUACUUUGUAGAACAAUGCAACAAUAUGCCUAUGGAAGUUGAUAACUGGGUAGCCUACAGACAGAUUGGUGUUCUCUUUUAAUCAGGAUCCAUUUACUGUCACAUAUACUCCCUCUCCUUCCUCUAGGUCAUCAGGCUGCUGGUUAUACUCCCUCUCUGACCUCUAGGUCAUCAGGCUGCUGAUUAUACUCCCUCUCUGACCUCUAGGUCAUCAGGCUGCUGAUUAUACUCCCUCUCCUCCCUCUAGGUCAUCAGACUGCUGAUUAUCCUCCCUCUCCUUCCUCUAGGUCAUCAGGCUGCUGAUUAUACUCCCUCUCCUCCCUCUAGGUCAUCAGGCUGCUGAUUAUACUCCCUCUCCUCCCUCUAGGUCAUCAGGCUGCUGAUUAUACUCCCUCUCCUUCCUCUAGGUCAUCAGACUGCUGAUUAUCCUCCCUCUCCUCCCUCUAGGUCAUCAGGCUGCUGAUUAUACUCCCUCUCUGACCUCUAGGUCAUCAGGCUGCUGAUUAUCCUCCCUCUCCUCCCUCUAGGUCAUCAGUCUGCUGAUUAUCCUCCCUCUCUGACCUCUAGGUCAUCAGGCUGCUGAUUAUACUCCCUCUCUGACCUUUAGGUCAUCAGGCUGCUGAUUAUACUCCCUCUCCUUCCUCUAGGUCAUCAGGCUGCUGAUUAUACUCCCUCUCUGACCUCUAGGUCAUCAGGCUGCUGAUUAUACUCCCUCUCUGACCUCUAGGUCAUCAGGCUGCUGAUUAUACUCCCUCUCCUCCCUCUAGGUCAUCAGGCUGCUGAUUAUACUCCCUCUCCUCCCUCUAGGUCAUCAGGCUGCUGAUUAUACUCCCUCUCCUCCCUCUAGGUCAUC